AUGGUAGGAUAGAGGCCUACCAUGGUGGUAACGGGUAACGGGGUGUUAGGGCACGACACCGGAGAGGGAGCCUGAGAAACGGCUACCACAUCCAAGGAAGGCAGCAGGCGCGCAAAUUACCCAAUCCCGACACGGGGAGGUAGUGACAAUAAAUAACAAUACAGGGCUCUUUUGGGUCUUGUAAUCGGAAUGAGUACAAUUUAAAUCUCUUAACGAGGAACAAUUGGAGGGCAAGUCUGGUGCCAGCAGCCGCGGUAAUUCCAGCUCCAAUAGCGUAUAUUAAAGUUGUUGCAGUUAAAAAGCUCGUAGUUGAAUUUCGGAAUCAAUAUGUCGGUCGUGCCUUCGGUACGUACUGGUAUCAUUGGUUUCUCCUUUCUGACGAACCAUGAUGUCAUUAAUUUGGUGUUAUGGGGAGUUAGGACUGUUACUUUGAAAAAAUUAGAGUGUUUAAAGCAGGCUUUAGCUUGAAUACAUUAGCAUGGAAUAAUGAAAUAGGACGUUCGAACCUAUUUUGUUGGUUUCUAGGAUCAACGUAAUGAUUAAUAGGGAUAGUUGGGGGCAUUAGUAUUCAAUUGUCAGAGGUGAAAUUCUUGGAUUUAUUGAAGACUAACUACUGCGAAAGCAUUUGCCAAGGAUGUUUUCAUUAAUCAAGAACGAAAGUUAGGGGAUCGAAGACGAUCAGAUACCGUCGUAGUCUUAACCAUAAACUAUGCCGACUAGGGAUCGGAUGAUGUUAAUUUUUUAAUGACUCAUUCGACGCCUUACGGGAAACCAAAGUGUUUGGG
rnacentral:rRNA from 1 species